UGUUCUYUAAAUAGGGACUUGUAUGAAUGGCCACACGAGGGUUUUACUGUCUCUUACUUCCAAUCAGUGAAAUUGACCUUCCCGUGAAGAGGCGGGAAUAUAUUAAUAAGACGAGAAGACCCUAUGGAGCUUUAACUACUUAGCCCAAAAGAAACAAAUUUCAUUGCUAAGGAAACAACAACACUCUUUAUGGGCUAACAGCUUUGGUUGGGGUGACCUCGGAGAACAAGAAAUCCUCCGAGCGAUUUUAAAGACUAGACCUACAAGUCGAAUCACACAAUCGUUUAUUGAUCCAAAAAAUUGAUCAACGGAACAAGUUACCCUAGGGAUAACAGCGCAAUCCUAUUCAAGAGUCCAUAUCGACAAUAGGGUUUACGACCUCGAUGUUGGAUCAGGACAUCCCGAUGGUGCAACCGCUAUCAAAGGUUCGUUUGUUCAACGAUUAAAGU
rnacentral:rRNA from 1 species